AGAUUGAACGCUGGCGGCAUGCCUUACACAUGCAAGUCGAACGGCAGCACGGGAGCAAUCCUGGUGGCGAGUGGCGAACGGGUGAGUAAUGCAUCGGAACGUGCCCAGUCGUGGGGGAUAACGCAGCGAAAGCUGUGCUAAUACCGCAUACGAUCUAUGGAUGAAAGCGGGGGACCGAAGGCCUCGCGCGAUUGGAGCGGCCGAUGUCAGAUUAGCUAGUUGGUGGGUAAAGGCCCACCAAGGCGACGAUCUGUAGCUGGUCUGAGAGGACGACCAGCCACACUGGAACUGAGACACGGUCCAGACUCCGUACGGGAGCAGCAGUGGGGUAAUUUUGGACUAAGUGGGCGCGAAGCCUGACUCC
rnacentral:rRNA from 1 species